GGCUGCCGCCCGGGGACGGAGGGGCGGCCGUUCUGUCUCCGUGAGGAAGCGCCCCGGUUGCUCAGCCGCUCUCCCUGUCAGGGGCGGACCCGCGGCCCGGUUCAUGACGGGGCUUUCGUCUUCCGUGGGACGUAAUUGCCGGCCUCCGCCCCGGCCGAGCUCUAGGGGCCCGGAGAAACAAAAGAGUCUUGGGCGUGAAGGAGCAGCUGUGUAGCGGUUUUGAGGAGCUAAGAACUGCUGAUCUCUCUUUAAACUCCCAUCUAAGCGCUACUUUAGGAGGCUUAGGAUCUGCCUGUAAGGAUAGUGAAGUAAGCCUCAAGCCUGAGCUUAAUACCCUGGCUGACGUUCCAGAGCACGCCUGGGCUGCUGCUCGCAGGGCGGCAGAGUGGAACCAGGCCUGUCAUCCUGCCAGCUACCGCACAGCAUGGAUGCAAAACACGGCUGAUGUUCUACCUCAGCUGAGAUGACCUGCCUGGCUGGGGUUACCACUAAGAAGUUUUAGGAUGUAAUCUCCGCCAGUAAAUUUAUUGUGACUGCAUCAGGAUUCAGAAGCUGUCUCGGGGCUCUAGCAACCCUAACAACUUCACUCCAUAAAUGUCCAAAAAGCUUUCUCCAUCCUGUAUUUCAAAUGUCUGCCAUGAUUUAGCAUAACUGAUACAACUUACUGAGGAAAAAAAGUUCUGUCUCUGUGGCAACUCCAUUUCCAGUUGUCUUUGCUGAAACUGUCAACAGGAUGCCAACUGACACCAAAUUUGAUAUUGUUUUUAUAAAGUGGGCACUUAUCCACCAUGAACUGGAUUGAGGCCACUUACCUAACAGCAUUCUCAGGGUAGGAAUUUAUCUUUAGGUGCUACUGCUGAUGCCAGAUUUGUAUUAAUAAUCACAGACUGUCCCUUGAAAUAAAUAAAUAAAUAAAUAAAA